rnacentral:misc_RNA from 1 species
GAUGAAGAACGUAGCGAAAUGCGAUAAGUAAUGUGAAUUGCAGAAUUCAGUGAAUCAUCGAAUCUUUGAACGCACAUUGCGCCCGCCAGUAUUCUGGCGGGCAUGCCUGUUCGAGCGUCAUUUCAACCAUCAAGCCCCCGGCUUGUGUUGGGGACCUGCGGCUGCCGCAGGCCCUGAAAACCAGUGGCGGGCUCGCUAGUCACUCCGAGCGUAGUAAUACAUCUCGCUCAGGGCGUGCUGCGGGUUCCGGCCGUUAAAAGCCUUAUUUACCCAAGGUUGACCUCGGAUCAGGUAGGAAGACCCGCUGAACUUAAGCAUAUCAAAAGCGGAGGA